AGGCAGCAGUGGGGAAUAUUGCACAAUGGGCGAAAGCCUGAUGCAGCAACGCCGCGUGAGCGAUGAAGGCCUUCGGGUCGUAAAGCUCUGUCCUCAAGGAAGAUAAUGACGGUACUUGAGGAGGAAGCCCCGGCUAACUACGUGCC
rnacentral:rRNA from 1 species